rnacentral:misc_RNA from 1 species
AAGCGGCUGGCACCCGUCCACAACUGCCAAAUCUCGGAUCCUCGGAUCCGUUGAACCCCGCGAAAGAACAAGUGCAUUAUGCGACGUUGGGCGAGAGGCGUCUCGCCGGUACCCGUACUACACACCCUUCGGGGUCGGUCGGGUUCCGAAUCAAAGCGUACACCCCAUUUUCAACCCCACUAAACUCUGAAUCUGAACUCGAAAGGGAGGCUGGCCCUACGGCCGGCCGCCCUCAACCAUAUAACGUUGUAAAACUUUCAGCGACGGAUGUCUUGGCUCCCACAACGAUGAAGAACGCAGCGAAAUGCGAUACGUCUUGCGACUUGCAGAAUCCAGUGAAUCAUCAAAAUUUUGAACGCAUCUUGCGCUUCCGGGAUAUUCCUGGGAGCAUGCUUGUCGGAGUGUCUGUUGACACCACUCGCCCGUCACUCUCUCUCUUUUUUUUCCCCCUUCCUUCUGGACGGGGAAGAAGAAGAAGGGGGUGGCGAGCGGACUCUGCGUGUUCCGGAGCUCUCCGACGCCUUCGGGUGUCGGGGAAGCGCUCCGAGUGCACCGAAUCUCGUGAACGAAACCUCUCUUCUGUCUGUGGCCUUGGUUGCGCAGAGUUGUUGACGGCGCUCGUGCCCCAUCAAAUGGGCGCGGCGGCUCUCGGCUCGAUUAACGUGCGGCGAAGCGCCCUUUGGGGAGGGGUUCCUUGUUUUUCCGGCGGACGGCCCCAGCGGCUGUUCCUCCGCGUUUUACUACUUUCGU